UUUAUCUUGGGUCAGUUAGUUUACAAAUACACAGGAUGCAGAGCUAGUGGUCCGGAAACUAGUAACUUUAGCUAGAUAAUGUACGCGGUUCUAUGAUGAGUUGGACACCGGCCAGAGACAGGGAGAAGUAUGGCGUUGCCAUCUAUAACUUCAGUGGUAUUAAUGAGGCCUGCAUCAAGCUCAAUGUUGGCAACACAGUUCAAAUUCUGGAGGAGCUUGGGGGCUGGUUCUUUGGGUACACACUCGACAACAAGGCCCUCCGAGGGGUGUUCCCCAAGUCAUAUAUACAGGUACGAGACUGUAUUGUGGACAAAUCUGGCCCAGUGGAGGUAGUGACAGCUCGCCUCCCACCCAUUGUACAAGAAGUCACAGCUGUGCUACGAGAAUGGGGGGUGCUAUUACGAAAGCUUUAUGUGGAGAGGAGCAAAGAGUUCACACUGUUACGAGACACCAUGACGGAGCUCAUAGUACAUCGUAGUAAGAUCUUGUGUGGUCAGUUGCCUGGAGAUGAACUCAAGCAGCUUAAGCAUCGCAUCACACUUGGAAUUGACAGAGUGAAUGCUAAGUUGGGGCUUGAUUUAGUUGUACGGGAUGAAAAUGGAAACAUUCUCAAUCCUGAUAUUACCUCAGCUGUCAAGCUGUUCCGACACCAUGAUGAAGCUGCUGCACAACUACGCAAGCAUGAAUCCUCACAUGGACGAGCCCCAUCAGUGCGCAGAAAAUCGCACUUGGCAUGGACAGCCUUAGUAGCAAUAAAAAAUAUUAUUAUUAAGGUUCCUGAGCCCUCCGAGAUUUCAUUAGGGUUGUACAUUGGAGAUCCUCGAGAAGGCAGAGAAAAGCCACUUACUGAAGCUUUCAUCAUCCCUUGGACUGAUGAAGGGUACAAUAGCCAUCCGGAUUUACUUCUCAAAUUAAAGUGUCUGUUUACGGAUUUGAGCACAGCAACCCUUGAUGACAAUCAGGUGUGGCUGAUUGGUUCAGUGGUUCGCUUAGGGUCAAUGGCCAGUAAAGAAGUAGACCCUCGCAGGGUCUCGUCAAUGAUGGGCAAGAAGUCCAUCUAUACUAAUGACUCGAUGAGAAGACCAUUUGGUGUUUUAAUGAUGGAUAUUACACCGCUGAUCACGAAACAAAGAAGCAUCACGGUGCCUGCAAAUGGCACACAGGACGAAGACCAUUUUGCCACAUUCUACCCGUGUGGUGAGAAGGAGACACUGGAUAUGAAGAAACUACUGUCGCGUGAUGUGGUGCGAGACAACAAGACGGGAUUUCAGGGGAUCUGGUUUACGUUUCAACUAAUUAACGGAGAUAUAAAACAGCUUCAAGAGGACAAUCCACACUAUGUUGCACUUCGGGACGUUCCUGUAGCUCUUCGCUUGGGUCUCUCCGACGUGAUCAUGCCUGGAGAUGUGCGCAAUGACCUGUAUGUCACUCUGUUAUCUGGGGAAUUCUCAAGAGGAGCCAAGACCUGUGACCGCAAUGUUGAAGUUACUGUCAGAAUUUGCAAUGAGAGAGGAGAAGUUAUACCAGGUGUGAUACAUCAAGGGUGCGGCCAAGGACCACUUGAUGAGUACCAUUCUGUUACUUACCAUCAUGAGGGAAAGCCAAGAUGGGCAGAAACUUUCAAGAUUACACUUCCUAUUGAAGAGUUCAAAAAGGCACAUAUUAAGUUCACCUUCAGACACAGAUCUACAAAUGAUGUGAAGGACAAAAAUGAAAAGCCUUUCUCUAUGUCCUUUGUGAAGCUGAUGCAAAGUAAUGGGACAACUUUACUGAACACAGAGCAUGAAUUGAUUGUGUACAAGAUCGAUGGAAAGAAAUGGAAUGAUGGAGACAGUAACUACCUGAGUCUUCCCUGGAGACGAAUUAAUGGGGAGGAAAUAGUCAAGUCGUGGAAUCAUGGGGUGGCUCCAUCAUUAAAGGACUCCUUCACUAUAUCCACCACUUUCUGUUCAACCAAACUCACACAAAAUGCUGAACUCCUUAGGCUGCUGGAAUGGGGUUGGAGUGGGUCUCAGGACAAGCAAACACUGCUCUCCUGUCUUCAGGGUCUUCGCCGGGUCCCCCCCGAGGAACUGAUGGUUUUCCUGCAGGACACACUGGAUGUACUCCUGGAAAUCCUCAUGAAUAACACCACAGAUGAUGAGAGUGACAACUACGUGUUCGAGGCGCUGAUAUAUGUCAUCACCAUAGCAACAGACAAGAACAAACAUGAAGCAUUCCAGCCCGUUCUAGACUCUUACAUCCAGCAAAACUUCCACGCUACCCUCGCCUACAACAAGUUGAUCCAUGUUCUAAAGGACUAUGUUAGAGAGGGACAGAAUACAAAACGACAAGAGACUUUGAAGAAAGCCAUGAAGUGCCUUCAGUAUGUCUUCAAGUUCAUCACACGCUCCAGACAGCUCUUUGUUGAGUUAUAUGGGCGUGGACAGGAAGAAUUUGAAAAGAGUUUACAGCAACUGUUGGAGGAAAUGGCUCUUAUGAUGAAGCACACUGUGGACACCACCCUCACUGUCCAGGCUCACUGCCUCAAGUACAUCACCACCACCAUCCCUGACAUCAUAACUAACUUUGAUCCUAUCAUUAUGAGCGAAAUCUUGGUGAAGAUGAUUGACAACCUAGAACCAAGACGGAUCCCAAAGCAGAAGUUGAUGACAAUGAACGAAAUAAUUCACAGUGAACUCUUCAAGAUCCCAGACUGUCGGCGCGUAUUACUCCCGUCCUUCAUUGUUAUUAUUCGUAGUUUGUUGGACGCCAAUGAGGAGGCAGCAGAUUAUGAGGUUGUAAUGAGAAAAGAGAGAAAUAUCGAGAAGCUAAAAAGAAUGCUGGAUUUCGACAGUCUCGCCCACUUGCCUGAAGCUCGCAACAUGACGGAGGAGCUGGAAUUAUGUGUGAAAAUUCUGGGAGACAUUCUGGAUGUACUGUUUUCAUCUGAUGUGGGACCAACCAUUGAAGAUAUAAGUUUGCUGUCCUUCAAAAUGUUGGAAGCUAUUCUGUCCACCAUCUGCAGGAUGACCCGAGAUGACCCACUUAUUUGUAAAUUUGUGAGUGCGCUGGUUUCCCUCCUGCGGCAAAUGACCGAACGGCAUUAUAAGAACUUCUUGAACAAGUUUCAAACCUCAGAUCAACUUUGCAUCUUCUUACUAGACCUCCUCUUGGUUGUGGAGAACCUCGUGAAAGUACCAGUUUUUCCAUCAGAUUGGGCAGAGAUGAUCCUCCUUCAGAACAGCGUAAUUGUGACAGUACUAAAACAGUGUUCACGAGUAAUUUGUGAAAGACUCCUCGACCCUUUCAAAGAACCCGUAUGGUGUAAAUUCUUUCAUUGUGCCAUCAGUUUCAUCACUCAGCCAUCUUUGCAACUGGAGGAUUUCACACAGAGCAAGAGAAAUAAAAUAAUUAGCAGAUACCGUGAUAUGCGUCGAGAUACUUCCUUAGAUAUCAAGAGUUUAUGGUUCAGUUUAGGCCAGCACAAGAUACGAUUUGUAGCAGCAACAGAUGGUAGGCAGUCCAUGGUUGGUCCAUUCCUUAAGAUGACAAUGUUGCCUGACGUGGAGCUUCGUAAAGGUACCAUACCCAUCUUCUUUGACAUGAUGCAGUGUGAGUUUUAUUCAUCACGAGAUCAAGGGAAAGAUCUGCCUCCAGACAUGGCUCGUAAUAACCAGAAGAAUAAGGGGAAGUUUAAUGAGUUUGAGAAUGAAAUGCUUGAGAAAUUAGACCAGCUUGUGGAAAGUGGUCAUGGAGACGAACACUACCGUCAGGUGUUCCAGAACAUCAUCGGUGCACUGUAUGAAGACCAUGCAACUAUGAGGGAACCCGGCCGCAAGUUUGUCAGCACUGUUACUAGACUGAUGGAUCGACUUUUACAAUACCGUACCAUCAUGAACACUCCUGACAACUCGGCAGAAACACGCAUGAGUUGUAUUGUUAAUCUCUUGGAUUUCUACUCUGAAAUAAAUAGAAAGGAACUUUACCUCCGAUAUGUUUACAAGUUGUCUGAACUUCACCUGGCUUGUGACAACUACACCGAGGCCGGCUAUACCCUGCGACAGCAUGCCGAUCUCUUGCGCUGGUCCUCAGACCCUCUCUCUGUAGCACUCCGAUCACCUCAUUACCUCAACAUUGAUCGUCACGACGAGCUUAAGGAAAAGCUGUACGAGGAGAUUAUUAGCUACUUUGACAAGGGAAAGAUGUGGGAGGAUGCAGUCAAACUGUGUAAAGAGUUGGUGAAGCAUUAUGAGGAAGUGAUCGUCAAUUACGUCAAGCUAUCCGACCUCCUGAACCGUAUGGCUGGCUUCUAUAGAAAUAUAAUGAAUCCACAGAACCUUCGUCCCGAGUCAGAGUAUUUCAGGGUAGCUUAUUAUGGACGAGGAUUCCCGGCUUUUCUUCAGAAUAAGGUGUUUGUUUACCGGGGAAAUGGGUUUGAGCGGUUAGCCGACUUUACCUCACGGAUUCUGGAUCAGUUUCCUAAUGCUGAGCUAAUGAAGAAGCUGACACCUCCAAGUGAUGAGGUCAAGGAGUCACCACAGCAGUUCCUGCAGAUCAGUAAAGUUGACUGUGCAGUACAGGGUCAAAAGCUCUUGUCUACUGCCGUCGCAGAGCAAAUACGGAGUUACUAUCGAGCAAACCACGUCAAGGUCUUUACUUACUCUCGUCCCUUCCAUCGUGGACAGAAGGAUCCUACAAAUGAGUUUGCCACAUUGUGCAUUGAGAAAACAACACUAACAACCUCAUACUCCUUACCUGGAAUCCUUCGGUGCUUCCCAGUUAUUAAGACUAGAUCAAUAGAACUGUCGCCCCUAGAGAAUGCCGUAGAAACUAUGUCCACCGCUAACACAGAAGUGUACGACCUGGUCAAGAAGUAUUCUCGAGACUCCACCCUACUACUACAUCCACUCACGAGAAAAGUUUCAGGCAUGGUUGAUGCUGCUGUCAUGGGUGGCAUUGUAAAUUAUGAAAAGGCAUUCUUGACUCCCGAGUACAUUGCGAGUCACCCCAACGAUGAAGAGAAACUGGACAACUUGCGCCACCUAAUCGCUGCUCAGAUACCAAUUUUAGAAGCUGCUCUCUCCAUUCAUGCUAACCGUGUGACUGAGCCCGUUGCUGGGCUUCAUGAGCACAUGGUGACGUCGUUUAGUAAGAUGAAGGCACAAGUACAAGACAAGUAUGGGGAAGCUGAGAUGCCAGAGGACUUAAAAAUUCAGAUUCGUCCAUUGAGGCUUCAGUCUCAGCUGAGUGUCAACAGUGAUCAGGCAUCACGUUCCUCCCACCUGUACAGUAAUCAUGAACUGCAAAGCACUAUGACAAGAUUGUCCAAAUCGCCUUCUCUAACACAGCUUAAGAUGACCUCAGCCAGUCUUUUGUCACGCUUCACUACCUCUGCCUCUCACCACCUUGUUUAGUUCCAUCCAUUCGUGUGCUACAUUAUAACUCUCUCCUGCCACUCUUGUAUCUUAGAAUUCAUAAUCUUCUCAUAAUGUUCGUGCCAAACUUAGAUUUUCUACGCUAAAUACUGUUAGUUCAUGGAGACGCUGAAGAAGUGCCAUUACUUCACAUUACUCCUCCGUUCCUGGUCAUGUGGUCAGACUCUCCCACUCUCCAUCUCCCUUCCAAUGUCCUUCUAUCUUAUUCCCUCAUUCUUGUACAGUAUUCUAUCUUUUUUCUUUAUCAUGUUCCUCUGUUACUCCUCUCUCACUUUUAAGGUCGAGUCCCUCACCUUCAUGUACUCACGCUUACCUUGGAUUGCCUCACUUCUCUCUGCCCUUCCUGUCACUCUCUCUUAUUUUUUGUCCUUCAGAAAUUUUGUCUGUGUUUUUUAAUAACUCAGACACAGGGGAGACACCAUUUAGUGUUUGUUCAUUUCAGUAAUCUGGGAACUUUUCAGAAUAUUUCUUCAAUACACCAACAGCUGAAGUCACCCUUAGUAUGAAUAACUUUAUCUGGUGGUUAUAUAUUUUUUACUUCUUGCUUUAAAAGGAUGAAGUAACUACAGUAUAACACAUUUUGAGAGAAGCCGUAAGACAAUUGUAGAAAUGCAUUAAGUGGUUUGCUAAGCCUUUUAUCAUUGCAUAGUGGAUUAUGUUUAUUACUUUUUAAAACUACAUCACCCCCAUGUUACUGAGAAGUAGUCAGUUUCAUGCUGUACACCAGGCAUGGGCAACCCGCAGCUUUGACCUUGUGUUUGUGUGGCCUGUGGGGUGAUUGAGAAAUUCUAUUUAUUGUGCCCCACAGGUCAGGUAGAUGCAGCCAGUUUAUGAUGAGUAAAAUUAUUAUUUAUUUAAAGAAUAAUCUUAACACACAAUUUGUUACUGUUUCAUCACUAAAGAGUAAGUAAAUGUAACAGAGAAAUAAGUAUAUGCAGUACUGUAUAGUCAACAAUUUAAAUAUUUUAACCUGUGUGAGUUUAUGGGCCAAGUUCUGCGCGGUCUGUUUGAUGGAUUAGCUGCUUUAUAGCAGUGGGUCACUUGGGAAUUAAUAAAGGCCACUAAUUACCCUGCAAUCGAAUUGUUGACCAUAGAUUCAUAAUCAGCUUGCUCAGGAGUACCUAUACUGAGAUUUUCAGAGAAAUCAAAUUUUUGGCCAAAACUAGCUGCUGAGUGAUAAGAAACAGGAAUCAGAACCAGACCAGCCACACUGCAUCAUAACAGAGAUAGUCUUGAGAGAUUAAAAAAUAAAUAAAAUGAGGACCUAGACACAGAUUUUGUAGAGGAACUCAUAUUAGAUGAGUUAAUUGUACAGAAUUUCCUCCAUGCAUUUUCUGCUAUAAAGUAAUAAAAACCAUCAGUGAAAACUCAGGUCUUCAGCAUUGCCUUGUACAGUACAUAAUAACAGAGGAGAGGAGGAGGUCUCUGUGGGCCUGUUCAUGAUACUACCAUCAAAUGAGGUACUGUAUAAUAAUAAUAAUAACAUUUUAAAGUGUAUUUCCAAGUACAGGCUGUGUAAACCAUUUUUAUCCUGGACUUUCAGAAUUUUACUCAUGAGACCUAACGAGGAAUAGAGUCACGAGUCCUCACAAGAAACAAAAGGACCGCUGAUGACUUAUUUAUUAACUUUUAUGUGCCAGGUCUACAUCCUUAAGUUUUCCACAUGAUAGAAACUAGACGUCUCAGAUUUUUUUUUUUUUUUUACUAUAUCAAAAUGGACUUGGUUAAUAAUGCUGAUGAGAGAUUCCAGCAUUAGAAAUUUUAUUCGAAAGGGAAAUAUGACGACUAGUACGAGCUCUUCGAUUGAUAGUUCUCACGGUGGCUGGUGUUUAUCACAGCAUUUCAAUGAACUUCAUCUUAACUGGACUUUCUUCAUCUGUAUCUUAGAACUUUUGAAAAAUUCUGUCUUUGUUUCAAAUAUUUAUUAUCUACUUCUAAAUAUUAUUAUUAUUUUAUUGUUUCCUCUUCAUUUGCAUUCUGGUUAUUUUCAUUUGCUCUAUUCCUUCUUGCCCCCCCAAUCCUUCUCCUGCCUCCUCCUUCAGGCCACCUCCCUCCCCUCCCCCCCUGGCUAACACCACAGGAGUGACAUCCCCUCACAUGACAGGGGUAUGUCAUUAUCAAACUCCCAGUCAUCCCUCUCAAGAUUAAGCACCUCAGGAAAAGGUUACCCUGGCACCCUGCCUCGGCAACAUAAGAUCUCUUCAACUAUUGGGAAUGGAACA
rnacentral:misc_RNA from 1 species